AACCAACAGGGAUUGCCUCAGUAACGGCGAGUGAAGCGGCAACAGCUCAAAUUUGAAAUCUGGCUUCGGCCCGAGUUGUACUUUGUAGAGGAUGCUUCUGGCGACGCGCCUUCCGAGUCCCCUGGAACGGGGCGCCGAAGAGGGUGAGAGCCCCGUACGGUUGGACGCCGAGCCUGUGUGAAGCUCCUUCGACGAGUCGAGUAGUUUGGGAAUGCUGCUCUAAAUGGGAGGUAAAUUCCUUCUAAAGCUAAAUACCGGCCAGAGACCGAUAGCGCACAAGUAGAGUGAUCGAAAGAUGAAAAGCACUUUGGAAAGAGGGUUAAAAAGUACGUGAAAUUGCUGAAAGGGAAGCGCUUGCGACCAGACUCGCGCCUGGCGGAUCAUCCAGCGUUCUCGCUGGUGCACUUCGCCUGGCACGGGCCAGCAUCGGUUCGGCGGGGGGGAUAAAAGCCCGGGAAACGUAGCUCCCUCCGGGGAGUGUUAUAGUCCCCCGCCCAAUGUUCCCUGCCGGACCGUGGACCGCGCCUUCGUGCAAGGAUGCUGGCGUAAUGGUCGUUAGCGACCCGUCUUGAAACACGGACCAAGGAGUCGAACAUUUGUGCAAGUGUUUGGGUGCAAAACCCUCACGCGUAAUGAAAGUGAACGGAGGUGGGAGCCUCGGCGCACCAUCGACCGAUCCUGAUGUUCUCGGAUGGAUUUGAGUAAGAGCAUAACUGUUCGGACCCGAAAGAUGGUGAACUAUGCCUGUGUAGGGUGAAGCCAGAGGAAACUCUGGUGGAGGCUCGCAGCGGUUCUGACGUGCAAAUCGAUCGUCAAACAUGGGCAUGGGGCGAAAGACUAAUCGAACCAUCUAGUAGCUGGUUUCCGCCGAAGUUUCCCCCUCAGGA
rnacentral:rRNA from 1 species